GACGAACGCUGGCGGCGUGCUUAACACAUGCAAGUCGAACGGAAAGGCCCUGCUUUUGUGGGGUGCUCGAGUGGCGAACGGGUGAGUAACACGUGAGUAACCUGCCCUUGACUUUGGGAUAACUUCAGGAAACUGGGGCUAAUACCGGAUAGGAGCUCCUGCUGCAUGGUGGGGGUUGGAAAGUUUCGGCGGUUGGGGAUGGACUCGCGGCUUAUCAGCUUGUUGGUGGGGUAGUGGCUUACCAAGGCUUUGACGGGUAGCCGGCCUGAGAGGGUGACCGGCCAAAUUGGGACUGAGAUACGGCACAGACUCCUACGGGAGGCAGCAGUGGGGAAUAUUGCACAAUGGGCGGAAGCCGGAUGCAGCAACGCCGCGUGCGGGAUGACGGCAUUCGGGUGGUAAACCGAUGUCGCCUGUGACGAAGCGUGAGUGACGGUAAUGGGUAAAGAAGCACCGGCUAACUACGUG
rnacentral:rRNA from 1 species